AUUUUGAAUCAAUCGCUGUAUCUGAAAAAUGAUAUAGAGGAAACUCCAUGCAUACACAUCCUGUGAUGGAUGUAGUGUUUGUGCUAGAGGAAAAGAUAACUCUAGGCAUUAGCAAUAGUGACGACAGAGUGGUAACCUAAGUGCUUGCAUAAGGUGAAACUCAUAAAGUGCCACAGGGACGAUUAGCUUGAAAAAGUGAAAUGGAACGGGUAAACUCCACAAGUAUGAAACUCAAAUUUUGGUAGAGGAACUAGAAAGUUAGGAAUCAAGAACUGAUUUUUUGGAUUGCAUUUGCAAUAGAUAGAUGAUUGAUGUGCUUCGGUAAACAGAACAUGGGUUAUGAUA
rnacentral:RNase_P_RNA from 1 species